rnacentral:rRNA from 1 species
UACGUAGGGGGCUAGCGUUGUCCGGAUUUACUGGGCGUAAAGAGCGCGCAGGCGGUCGUUCAAGUCGCGUGUGAAAGCCCCCGGCUCAACUGGGGAGGGUCACGCGAUACUGAUCGACUCGAAGGCAGGAGAGGGAAGUGGAAUUCCCGGUGUAGUGGUGAAAUGCGUAGAUAUCGGGAGGAACACCAGUGGCGAAGGCGACUUCCUGGCCUGUUCUUGACGCUGAGGCGCGAAAGCUAGGGGAGCAAACGGG